rnacentral:rRNA from 1 species
UGCCGCGUGAGUGAUGAAGGCCUUCGGGUUGUAAAGCUCUUUUGUCCGGGAAGAUAAUGACGGUACCGAUAGAAUAAGCCCCGGCUAACUUCGUGCCAGCAGCCGCGGUAAUACGAAGGGGGCUAGCGUUGUUCGGAAUUACUGGGCGUAAAGGGUGCGUAAGCGGUUCUUUAAGUCAGGUGUGAAAUCCUGGAGCUCAACUCGAAAACUGCCUUUGAGACUGAAGAUCUUGAGUUCGGGAGAGGUGAGUGGAAUUGCGAGUGUAGCGGUGAAAUGCGUAUAUAUUCGGAGGAACACCAGUGGCGAAUGCGGCUCACUGGACCGAUACUGACGCUGAGGCACGAAAGCGUGGGGAGCAAACAGGAUUAAAUACCCUGGUAGUCCACGCCCUAAACGAUGAUUGCUUGCCGU